UUGUUUUUUUUCUUGCUGCUGUGGUCGUUGUUUUGUUUUUCAAAUUUUUUUCACUAUUAUACAGUGUUUAUUCCCAUUGGAAUUUAGAAAAAAAAACGUUAAUCAUUGAAUAUUCAUGUGUGUGUGUGUGUGUGAUAUACAGACACAAUGUCUCAUUGUUGAUCGGAUUUUGUUUGUCUGAAAUUUUUGGAAUUGUCUACUAUAAACACAAAUAUAUCAGUAUUACCAAUUUGUGAUCAAUACAACCAAAAAAAAACAACAACAACAAAACAAAA